rnacentral:rRNA from 1 species
ACGUAGGGGGCGAGCGUUGUCCGGAAUUACUGGGCGUAAAGAGCACGUAGGCGGGAACUUAAGUCAGAUGUGAAAGACCGGGGCUCAACUCCGGGAUUGCAUUUGAAACUGGGUUUCUUGAGGGCAGGAGAGGAAAGCAGAAUUCCUGGUGUAGGGGUGAAAUGCGUAGAAAUCAGGAGGAAUACCAGUGGCGAGGGCGGCUUUCUGGACUGACCCUGACGCUGGGGUGGGAAAGCGUGGGUAGCAAGCAG